AGGAYUCUUCGGAAGAAGAAAUAUUUAGAUUAUCAGAACAAAUUGAAGAAAUAAAAUUCGAAAAAGAAGAAUUGGAAGAGAAGGCUCAAAAUAAUAGGCAUUGUCAAAAGUGUGCAGAGACGAGUAGUGACAGUACUUCACCCGAURCCAGCCACAAGCGUUAUUUAGAAUCAGAAGUCAAAAGAUUAAAAAAGAAAUUAAAGGAAAAAGAAUCAUCGCAUCAUAAGACGAUCAAUUUAUAUCGACUCCAUCUUAUUAGUUUAAUACAGGGUGAACUCGAUCCUGCCAUAGAAGAUGSUCUUCAUGAGAUUAUCGGUUUACGAGCUAGCGAGCAGUUCUGUUGACAAAGGAUUUAUUUUCGGGGUUCCUUUGCCAUUCACAAGGUCAUUGCCAGAACUAUGGCAAUCAUGGAUGUAAAUAUAUUUUAGACCAAAAUCUAUUUUACAUUGAAGGAAUGUGUUUUAUGCUAUUCUUAAUGCGAAUAAAUAUUUUAAACAGUU